GACGAAUGCUGGCUGCGUGCUUAACACAUGCAAGUCGAACGGUGAACCAGGGCUUGCCCUGGGGAUCAGUGGCGAACGGGUGAGUAACACGUGGGCAACCUGCCCCUCACUCUGGGAUAACUCCGGGAAACCGGGGCUAAUACCGUAUACGACCUCAUGCGACAUCUCGUGAGGUGGAAAGAACUUCGGUGAGGGAUGGGCCCGCGGCCUAUCAGCUAGUUGGUGGGGUAACGGCCCACCAAGGCGACGACGGGUAGCCGGCCUGAGAGGGCGACCGGCCACACUGGGACUGAGACACGGCCCAGACUCCUACGGGAGGCAGCAGUGGGGAAUAUUGCGCAAUGGGCGAAAGCCUGACGCAGCGACGCAGCGUGAGGGAUGAAGGCCUUCGGGUUGUAAACCUCUUUCAGCGGGGACGAAGCGAAAGUGACGGUACCCGCAGAAGAAGCACCGGCUAACUACGUGCCAGCAGCCGCCGUAACAC
rnacentral:rRNA from 1 species